rnacentral:sRNA from 1 species
GCCUAGCCCCGAUAGCAGCGGAAAUCCUUUUUAUUGCCUUGAUGCACUUCUUUGAAAGACAGGGCUGAAGCAAUGAAAAGAUUGCAGCGGAUAGCGGGAAACAGC